AAUGCAAUUUGCAAUAAACUUUUAAUUUAUUUAAUCAUUUUUUAUGAUCUUGCGUUG
rnacentral:tRNA from 2 species